UACGUAGGGUGCAAGCGUUGUCCGGAAUUAUUGGGCGUAAAGAGCUCGUAGGCGGUUUGUCGCGUCGGGAGUGAAAACUCAGGGCUUAACCCUGAGCCUGCUUCCGAUACGGGCAGACUAGAGGUAUGCAGGGGAGAACGGAAUUCCUGGUGUAGCGGUGGAAUGCGCAGAUAUCAGGAGGAACACCGAUGGAGCGAAGGCAGAUCUCUGGGACCGUAACUUGGACGAGGAGCGAAAGCAUGGGGG
rnacentral:rRNA from 1 species